rnacentral:rRNA from 1 species
GACGAACGCUGGCGGCGUGCUUAACACAUGCAAGUCGAACGGUAAGGCCCUUCGGGGUACACGAGUGGCGAACGGGUGAGUAACACGUGGGUGAUCUGCCCUGCACUUCGGGAUAAGCCUGGGAAACUGGGUCUAAUACCGGAUAGGACCACUGCCUGCAUGGGUGGUGGUGGAAAGCUUUUGCGGUGUGGGAUGGGCCCGCGGCCUAUCAGCUUGUUGGUGGGGUGAUGGCCUACCAAGGCGACGACGGGUAGCCGGCCUGAGAGGGUGACCGGCCACACUGGGGCUGAGAUACGGCCCAGGCUCCUACGGGAGGCAGCAGUGGGGAAUAUUGCACAAUGGGCGCAAGCCUGAUGCAGCGACGCCGCGUGAGGGAUGACGGCCUUCGGGUUGUAAACCUCUUUCAGCACCGACGAAGCGCAAGUGACGGUAGGUGCAGAAGAAGGACCGGCCAACUACGUGCCAGCAGCCGCAGUAA